UCUUCCUUCUAUCUCACUAGAAAAUGAAAAACUCAGCACGUGUUUGGUUCGCUUUUUUUUCAGUAUGAUAUCGGAAUCGGAAUCGGUAAAUCCGUUUGAGGGUGUUUGGUACGCGGAAGUUCCAUUCCGAUUCCGAUUCCCGAGUGGAAUGAAAAUCCCCCAAUCACAUCUUUUUGCAAUCCGGUCUAGCAGACCGGAUUGAAAGUUGAAUCCGGACAGAAUGUAUAUUUAUUCGGAUUAAAUUUAUUUUUUCAACUUUUUUAAUUAAAAAUAUGAGUUAAAAUUUAAAAAUUAAAUAUAUAAUUUUAAAUUUUAAUUUAAACUUAAAUUAAAAAUUAAAAUUUAAUCAAGUAUUUCGAAUCUAACUUAUGAAUNAUGAGUACGAAGGCGAUCGUACUCAUAAGAGUGUAGUAGCCGGACUCUAUAUAUAUAUAUAUAUAUAUAUAUAUAUAUAAUUUGGCCGGAAUACUAUUAAUAGCACAAAAUUAUUGAUGCUAUUAGGUUUCGACUCUUUAUUGAAAAAAUGUACGGUAAGAUGAUAGUGGUCCUUUAGGGUUGAGUAUGUGGUUGGUUGAAUAGUAUGAUCUAACGGUUAAAAAUAAUGAAAGGAAUAAAUCUAACGGCAGAAAAUUCGGUAGUACCAAACGCUUGGUGUUAUCGAUAGUAUCCCAGCUACCAGCUGGACUUCAUAUAUAUAUAUAUAUAUAUAUAUAUAUAGAGAGAGAGAGAGAGAGAGAGAGAGAGAGAGAGCUACGCUGCUAUACUAUCGGCAGUACGAAGGACUCUAUACUACUAAAUUAUUUUUAGUGAUGCAGCUUCCAAAUCAACGAGCAGCUCUAUCAAAGUUGAUUUACACUAUUGAAGUAUUUGAAAGCUAAAUUUUAUAAUUUUUCGAUACUAUUUGGCUAGUAAUCAAAAUGUCUUAAAAUUAAUCAUUUUAAUAGUUGAUGUGAUACGUUUGUGAAUUUAACGGUGUAAAACAAUUCAAAUCCGAUGAAAUUUUUAUUAUUAUUAUUUUUCAUUAUUUAGAGUAAGAUCUCUGAUCUUAAAUUCACAUAUUUUAUCAUCAUUUUUUAUGAAAUUUUUAUUUUCAGCCGUUUAUUUCUAGACUACUUACUCAAUGGAUAAAUUAUAUCGAAAAAUUAUGAAAUUUAGUUUUCGAAUACUUUCAAUAAUAUAAAUCAAAUUUAACGGAGCUGAUUAUCGAUUUGAAAGUCGCAUUUUUAAAAAUAAUUUAGUAGUACGAAGACUUCCGUACAACCGAUAAUAUAGCAGCCGGACUCUAAUAAGCACCGGCUAUUAGUGCUAUUAGGUUUUCGACUUUUGGAUGAAAAAAAUAUACGGUUAGAAUAAUGUGGGUCUUUUAGGAUUGAGCGAGUUAUUAAUUAAACAGUAUAAUAAUUUAACGGAUAAAAAUAAUUAAAGAAUUAAAUCUAAAAGCAAAAAAAAUUAAUAGCAUUAAAUAUUUGGUACUCCUAAUAAUGUAAGUGAGAAAUAGAACGAUCAAACGUUCAUUUUCAUAUAUUUUUUUUUAUAAUU
rnacentral:lncRNA from 1 species